GAUGAACGCUAGCGACAGGCUUAACACAUGCAAGUCGAGGGGCAGCACGGGAGUAGCAAUACAACUGGUGGCGACCGGCGCACGGGUGAGUAACGCGUAUGCAACCUACCUAUCAGAGGGGAAUAACCCGGCGAAAGUCGGACUAAUACCGCAUAAAACAGGGGCACCGCAUGGUGAUAUUUGUUAAAGAAAUUCGCUGAUAGAUGGGCAUGCGUUCCAUUAGGUAGUUGGUGAGGUAACGGCUCACCAAGCCGACGAUGGAUAGGGGAACUGGGAGGUUGGUCCCCCACACUGGUACUGAGACACGGACCAGACUCCUACGGGAGGCAGCAGGGAGGAAUAUUGGUCAAUGGGCGAGAGCCUGAACCAGCCAAGUCGCGUGAAGGAAGAAGGAUCUAUGGUUCGUAAACUUCUUUUGCAGGGGAAUAAAGUGCGGGACGUGUCCUGUUUUGUAUGUACCCUGAGAAUAAGGAUCGGCUAACUCCGUGCCAGCCGCCGCCGUAACAC
rnacentral:rRNA from 1 species